AGAUUCCACCAUGUCGGUGUCACCAGCUGAUAAAUUUUCAAUUUGAUAAUCGGACAAAUUAAGGCCGAACCUUUUAUUAAGCACCUAAAUAUUAAAAAGUGUUUUGUUGACAUGGGAACUUUUUGUUUUACUCAAGGCGAGUAAUUGUGAAGGUCUACCCAGUGCGGUUUAAAAUGAUGAAUGAUUUCGGUUAAAAGUACCUAAAAAAAACAUUCCGUUUCGCUUAUUAUUGAUGUACAAGUCUUAACUCCGUCAGAAAAAUCCUUUGCCAAGUGCUUUCUAGCCUUGGACAAAGGAAUGCUAUCAAGCCAAUCCCACAAUUCGGCCUCGUUUUCAGUUCUAAAAUUAUCAUUAGUCUUGUAUUGUACUUUUCUAUAAGUGGUUAAACACUCUGACAUGUUUUAAAUGGUCACUCUCAAGUCAAUCUGUAGUACUGCUAUAAAACUUGGGAGACGAAAUGAAUUUUUCAGCUGAAUAAUUUUUAUUUAAAGCACAUAGAUUUUUUGAACUGUGGUACCACAAAGAGUGUAUGCAUAUGUCUAGUUGAGACAAGUUAAACAAUUUCUAAAAUUGUUUAAGAGAUGCAACGUUUAUGUUUUUUAUGUAGCUUUUUUUUCUUAUUGCGUGAGUCUUUUUCAGCGUCUUUUUUAAAAAAAGAUAACUAGAAUUUUGAAUGAUUUUUUUAAGGAAAUAGUGGUUAAUGAAAAGACAAAGUGGAAUUGGGAAAAUGUUUCAAGCCGAUUAAAAAUAAUGUCUGUUUGAUGUUGAAAGUGAAAUGUCAUUUUUAGCUUUAUUUUAAAGGUUUAAACUCAUGUUUUUUUGCAAUAAGGAAAAUCUAUUCAUUUAAUAUGGUCCGUAUGACCGCUGCCCGCGCCCACGAUACCUUGGAAAAUACCCAGGAAUUCCAUGCAUUCUAGAGUAGAAGAGAGUUGAAUUUAAAGGUGACGAUUUAUUUAACACGUACCCACGCCGGCCACGAAAACUCUGUGGAGGUACCAUGCCUCUUCCGAAUUUCCCACGAGGCAUUGACAUACCAAAAGGAGCACCACGUCCACUCAUCAUAAAAUUUUUAUAACCUGGAAUAUUUUUACGUUUGGCAGAUACCUAGAGAUUAUAGAACAAGGAUCAUUUAUUUUAAAUGAACUACCAAAGUAAUAGGAAGAAAAGAAGUUACUUUUAAAGGACGAUCACGAAAAAUUGAGUCUGACAGCAUAACUGCAGUUGAGAUGGCUGACUCAUUUUGAAAUUCAAUAUAAGCAUAUCUGAUGCCCGGUAUAGCGAUCGACCAUGAGAGUAAUACGAUUAAUAUACCCACAAAGUUUAAAAUGCUCCCGUAAUUCUAAUGGUGUUGCAGCAUAGUCAAUCUAUAAAAAAAAAAAUUGCUGCCUAACACAACGUUAUUUAAACU